GUGCAAAGGUAGCAUAAUCANUUGGCUUAUAAUUGAAGUCUGGCAUGAAUGAAAGCACGGGUAAGAGCUGUCUCCUAUAUAAUACUUAAAAUUAGUAGGUGAGUGUAAAANCUCAUUUAUUUAUAAUAGACGAGAAGACCCUAGAAAUUUUGAUGUUUAAUUUUUGUUGGGGCGACAGAGUUAGAGACAACUAACUUUAAAUAUUUGGCACAGAGGUGAAAAAAUAAAUUACUCUAGGGAUAACAGCAUAAUUUAUUAAAGUUUGUGACCUCGAUGUUGGACUAGGUAAAAUAUUUUCCAGUAGAAAGUAUAUUCUGCUCUGUUCGAGCAAAGCAACCUG
rnacentral:rRNA from 1 species